GAUGAACGCUGGCGGCGUGCUUAAUACAUGCAAGUCGAGCGAACAGACGAGGAGCUUGCUCCUCUGACGUUAGCGGCGGACGGGUGUGUAACACGUGGAUAAUCCACCUAUAAGACUGGGAUAACCUCGGGAAACCGGAGCUAAUACCGGAUAAUAUACUGAACCGCAUGGUUCAAUAGUGAAAGACGGCUUUGCUGUCACGUAUAGAUGGAUCCGCGCCGCAUUGGCUAGUUGGUAAGGUAACGGCUUAUCAAGGCGACGAUGCGUAGCCGACCUGAGAGGGGGGUCGGCCGCACGGGAGCUGAGACACGGUCCAGACUCCUACGAGAGGCAGCAGUAGGGUAUCUGACGCAAUGGGCGAGAGCUUGGCGGAGCGACGGCGCGUGAGUGAUGAAGGUCUUCGGUGCGUGAAGCUCUGUUAUUAGGGAAAAACAAAUGUGUAAGUAACUAUGCACGUCUUGACGGUACCGAAUCAGAAAGCCACGGCUAACUACGUG
rnacentral:rRNA from 1 species